UGCCAAACAAGUUAUUUUAGUAAAAAUGCUUUGUUUUGAGAGUUUAAGGUUGGUUACUCAGCAGAACCACCGUGUUUCUCAAGGUUUCGUGGGGAGUCUCCAUGAGGAAAACUGCAGGGACACAUUCUAAAGGCAAGAUGAACUUGAGCAGAGAUGUAAAGAAAGGAGAGAUGGACUGAUACAGAAGAGGAUGCUUGCAGCUAACCAUCAGACAGAGCAUGGCGAUCCCUAUGGAGGAGUUAGAGAAAAAACUGAAGGAACUGAAGCAACUCCAUAGGAAGAACAACAGUAUCAACCAACCAGACCCCCUAGAGCUGCUGGGGACUAAACCAUCGCCCAAAGAGACAGACCUAUGGCUCCAUCUGCAUAUGUAGCAGAGGAUGGCCUUGUCAGGCAUCAAUAGGAGGAGAAGUCCUUGGUCCUGUGAAGGCUCGAUGCCCCAGUGGGGAACGCCAGGGUGUUGAGGUGGAUGGGUGGGAGUGGGAGCAUCUUCAUAGAAGCAAGGGGAGGGGAGGAGGGAGGAUGGGAGAGGGGGAAACGAGCUAACAUUUGAAAUGUAAACACACAAAAUAUCCAAUAAAUAAAAACAAGAAAGAAGAGAUGGGAAAA